rnacentral:rRNA from 1 species
GACGAACGCUGGCGGCGUGCUUAACACAUGCAAGUCGAGCGGUAAGGCCCUUUCGGGGGUACACGAGCGGCGAACGGGUGAGUAACACGUGGGUGACCUGCCCUUAGCUCUGGGAUAAGCCUGGGAAACUGGGUCUAAUACCGGAUAUGACUCCAUGACGCAUGUUGUGGGGUGGAAAGCCUUGUGCGGCUAGGGAUGGGCCCGCGGCCUAUCAGCUUGUUGGUGGGGUGAUGGCCUACCAAGGCGACGACGGGUAGCCGGCCUGAGAGGGCGACCGGCCACACUGGGACUGAGACACGGCCCAGACUCCUGCGGGAGGCAGCAGUGGGGAAUCUUGCGCAAUGGGCGAAAGCCUGACGCAGCGACGCCGCGUGAGGGAUGACGGCCU